GCGCCAGUGGUUUAGUGGUAAAAUCCAUCGUUGCCAUAAAAAUGCAAUAUCGAUGGGCCCCGCGUUCAAUUCGCGGCUGGCGCA